rnacentral:sRNA from 1 species
GCCAGGCACAGUGGCACAAGCCUGUAAUCCCAGGUCUUGGGAGGCUGAGGCAGGAGGAUUGUGAGUUCAAAGCCAGCCUCAGCAAAAAGCGAGGCUCUAAGCAACUCAGUGAGACCCUGUCUCUA